rnacentral:lncRNA from 1 species
UCCAGAGUAUUACUAGAGGCAAAGAAAUAUAUUACAAGGAAAAAAAGAGACUGAAAGAAAGUAAAAGAAAUACCAAAAUAUAACCUUUAAAAAUUUGAACAAAAGUCUCAAACAAAAAUGAAAAUUAGAAUGAAGAUAAUCUACAAAGACCAAAAUGUGAAAAGGAACCAGGAACCUAGUGAAUGAAAGACGAAUGAAGUAAACCAUAAAGUGGGGGAGAUUGCUCAGUCCACAAAGUUCCUCCAUCGCAAGUGUGAGGCCGGGAAGUACAGUGAAAGAACACCAAUCUCAGUGCAAGGUGAGCCAACAGGUGUGUAUUCCUGGGACUCAUCGGAUGGCUAGCCUAAUCUACUUAGAAACUAUAGGCCAGUAAGAGACUCUGCUUAAGCAAAGUGGCCAGCAGACCUGAAAUAAGUCAGGUGGCAUUGCACUCUUUGGCACCACCAGCAAGCUUCCAUUGAGUUCAAAUUGGAAGUUGCUUGAAGUUCAAAUGGUGACGGCUAUGAGUGAGCUAUGAGGUAAGGUUCUUUCUGUGCAUAAGAAAGAUGUACUGGGUAUUGGCAUCCUUGAAGGGCUUUCACUGUUUUUCUGAAACCUACAUGGCUACUGGAGGUCUGUCUUGCUCUUACUUAGGGCUCUCAAGAGAUGUAUGAAUGUCCUGCCUCAAAAGUUGCUAUCAUAUGUGAGACAAGAUGGUGGUGGCAGGAACAGGAUUUCCCUUAACUGGACUUUGGAGUGCAUGACAGUUCUGACAUUGCAGGUACCUCAUCCAAACACAGUCUUUGCCCUAGCUCUGGCUUCGCAGAGGCCCUGUUGUGUGUAAAGAGCUCUCUGAUGGCCUUACGGGAGACUUUGGGCAUUCGCCUUAGAGCAAAUGCUAUGAACAAGCUGCCCCUUCUUCCAUGGUUGCUAGUGAGUCAGAAGAGGCUACAAGUACACAUACCCAUGUCUAUUUAACUCUGUAGAGGGCACUUUGGAGAGGAAGCCAAGAUCUAGAAGGUGUUCCAAUGUAUCUUCUUUUGCCUACAGAGGGGUGGUCAUUAGCAUUGGCUCCCAAGACCAACCCUCAUAGAUUGUGAUCUCUUGGCCCAAGGAUCUUUUAAAAAGAAGCACCUAGUGUGUAUGUGUAUAUAUAUAUGUACUUUUUAAAAUUCUGCACAGGGAUCCAAUCUCUAUGACUGGAAAGUCUCCUCUUCUGUGAGCAGACCCCGGCCUGGGUCAAGAGUUAAUUGAGCUGGUUCUUGAAGCUUGAUAGAUGCUUGAAGAUUACUGUAGUGCAUAAGUCCUCCUGGGGACUUUAGGAAAGCUCCCAGACCAACAGAUGGGUUUGAGGGGUAGUAGAUCCUAGUGCUUAAGAGUAUCCUUACAGAUGUUCACUGGUUGUGCCAUAGAUCCUGCUCCCCUGAUGAUCUUUGGGACUAUGACCACUUUUGUUCUCAGAUAACCUCUGCCCUACCUUCAAUGGGUCUAGGCCUCUCUCAGUGAAGAUGUUCUCUGUAUAAAGACUACCUUAUGUUUUUUAUAAAGUUUACCUGGAAACUUAACAGGCCCCAUAAUUUAACAGUAUGCAUACAUGUAAUUUAAUCUAUUGAGUAUGUGCUUUGAAUUCAGCUUUCUCUUGUUAAGGUGCUAUUACACAGCACUAUAUUCUAAGCCAAACAACUGCCAAGGAUUGCUAUGCCAAAUUUCAAAGGAUCAUCACUGCUAGUCUUGUUGAUUAUUGGCUUGUUAAUGUUAUUAUGUCUCAGAAAAUGCCUGGAUAUUUUUCCAUGAUGGAAAAGAAAGUUGGAAAGCUUAAGCAAAUUAUACGGGUCUGAGCAAGUUAUAUAAGGUAUGUAAACAGUCAGAAUUCAAUACAUUGAUGUCAAAGCUCUGCUUAAAUAAAUGGCCUGUUCUCCCUAACAAUUACAAAGAUUGUUUGAGGAAAAAAAUGUUUAUUUAAUCAAAAUGUAUUUAAAUAUUUGGUUGUCAGUGGCAUCCUGGGUGUUCAAUAACCAUACUUGGAGACCAUACUAAUGUGGUCAGAGGGAUUAAAAAGGAGAAUAUAUUCCUCCUUGGCCCCCAAGAUCAAGUAGGUCGGACAAGCAUCUCACACAAAGUGCUUUUUAACUGUGAGGAAUCACCUUUUCUGUUGUUCAGGGAGGUCAUGGAGACGCCAACCAGUAUACUCAAACCACUGUCCAGUCUACAAAGAGGAGGGCCUAUAAAGGACCCUCCAUGGAUCUUGCUUCCAUGUUUCCAAGUAAAGCCAUAGCUAAGCAUAAAUUCUCCUCCCGUAGAAUGAGCAUACUUGGAAAAGGAAGGUUAGACGCUCAAGCUCAAGUGACCCUCAAGGACAAUAUCUUCAACUGGCCUUGACAAUAAAAAAUAGAGUUAAUUUUGUCCACCUGUAUGGUCUUAAACACCCAGCAGGAAAGUAUAACCAAAAAUAAAUAAAUAAAUAAAAUGACUGGUGUAUUUCUUGAACAGUUUAAGGGACCAUACUCCCUAGACAUUAGGUUUAAAGCCACAUGGGUUUAGACAACCAUUUCUCAUUAGUGAUUUUCUUCUUGAUAAGAAAAAUGCUGCCUAGAUAUAAAAUGUCAAUGCCUUGGCUCAACUCAGCACUGCAUCAUCUAUCUCCAACCAAGAGAGAUAAUCCCCAUAGUUUUAAUUAUCAUUUUAUGCUUAGGUUAAAUUGAUUUUCUUUCUCCCUCUUUAGAAGCCAUGUGAACCAAGCUCAUCCCAACAGCUGCCAAAGUGUCUGAAAGUAGAUCCUGGGUCCACCCUUCCCCAUCCCAGCCUUGGAUCUGCUGCUGCUAUGUGAAACGUUUCUGAAAACAGUGACCUAUUUUGUUUGUAAUGCAGUGGCCUCUAGUAUUCUCCUCUCUACUCCUUCAGCCCUUCCACUUCUACAGAUGGCCCUUUACGUGGAGCCUCAGAUACGUACAGCCUGUCUAAAGAAGCCGGGUUCCAGAAGCCUGCCUUGUGGGAGUUCCCUGCCUCUUGGACUGACACUCCCCUGGACUCCGCCCCCUCACAGCAUGAAGCAGCUAGAGCGGUCAUCGUCCCCUUUCCUGACAAUAAUUGGUGUCAAUCUCUGAAGUGGGGAAGGAAGGCAGGUUAGAUGGACAUAGGUAGACUAGGAAAGUGAGAGCAGACUUCCUGACACAAGGCUUCUUAUUCUCAGAAGACACUGUGAGACAGGGUAUGAAAGCUGAAACUAUAGAGGAAGGGAGGACAAAGGGGCCCUAUAAAAUACCUACGCCAGAAGCCUUUUAGAGAAAUUCUAGCCUUUGCUAUCACCUAUCCUCUAGGAAUAAAGCUGUUACUUUUACUGUCU